rnacentral:lncRNA from 1 species
UUAAAGAUAUUUCUAUAAUAAGUUGCAAAUUUGAUCUAAUCAAGUCCAACUCAAUGGAUUUACUAGAUUGUGUUAGUUCUUCUACCGAUCGAACUUCAUCAAGUUCAAUCUUUAAGAUAUUAGUUUUUUCUCCAAAGAACUCUUUUUUUAGAAAGACUGUCCUAUUGCUGACGAACACCUUCUAUUUGUUAGCAAGAUAGAAGUAAUACCCCUUGAUCUUUUUUGGAUACCCUACAAAUAGACACUUAUCAAACU